rnacentral:rRNA from 1 species
GUGGAUUAGAUACCCUGGUAGUCCAUGCCGUAAACGUUGGGCACUAGGUGUGGGGGACAUUCCACGUUUUCCGCGCCGUAGCUAACGCAUUAAGUGCCCCGCCUGGGGAGUACGGCCGCAAGGCUAAAACUCAAAGGAAUUGACGGGGGCCCGCACAAGCGGCGGAGCAUGCGGAUUAAUUCGAUGCAACGCGAAGAACCUUACCAAGGCUUGACAUGGACCGGAUCGGGCUGGAAACAGUCUUUCCCUUCGGGGCUGGUUCACAGGUGGUGCACGGCUGUCGUCAACU